rnacentral:rRNA from 1 species
UACAGAGGGUGCAAACGUUGCCCGGAAUCAUUGGGCGUAAAGCGCGUGUAGGCGGCCAGGUAAGUCCGUUCUGAAAGCCCGGGGCUCAACCCCGGGAGGCGGAUGGAUACUGCUUGGCUCGAGUCCGGAAGAGGCGAGUGGAAUUCCCGGUGUAGCGGUGAAAUGCGCAGAUAUCGGGAGGAACACCAAUGGCGAAGGCAGCUCGCUGGGACGGUACUGACGCUGAGACGCGAAAGCGUGGGGAGCAAACAGG